GCCGUAACUAUAACGGUCCUAAGGUAGCGAAAUUCCUUGUCGGGUAAGUUCCGACCUGCACGAAUGGCGUAACGACUUCCCCGCUGUCUCCAACACCGGCUCGGCGAAAUUGAAUUCCCCGUGAAGAUGCGGGGUACCCGCAGUUAGACGGAAAGACCCCGUGCACCUUUACUACAACUUUGCAGUGGCAUUAGAGAAUGGAUGUGUAGGAUAGGCGGGAGCCUUUGAAGCAUUGGCGCUAGCUAGUGUGGAGGCAACCUUGAAAUACCGCCCUUUUGUUCUUUGAUGUCUAACCGCGGUCUGUCAUCCAGAUCCGGGACCCUGCAUGGUGGGUAGUUUGACUGGGGCGGUCGCCUCCCAAAGAGUAACGGAGGCGCGCGAUGGUGGGCUCAGGCUGGUCGGAAAUCAGCCGCUGAGUGCAAUGGCACAAGCCCGCCUGACUGCGAGACUGACAAGUCGAGCAGGGACGAAAGUCGGCCAUAGUGAUCCGGUGGUUCCGCGUGAGUGGGCCAUCGCUCAACGGAUAAAAGGUACGCCGGGGAUAACAGGCUGAUACCACCCAAGCGUCCACAGCGACGGUGGUGUUUGGCACCUCGAUGUCGACUCAUCACAUCCUGGGGCUGGAGCAGGUCCCAAGGGUUCGGCUGUUCGCCGAUUAAAGUGGUACGUGAGUUGGGUUCAAAACGUCGUGAGACAGUUUGGUCCCUAUCUGCUGUGGGUGUUCGAGACUUGAGAGGAGCCGUCCUUAGUACGAGAGGACCGGGAUGGACUUACCUCUGGUGUACCGGUUGUGACGCCAGUCGCAGCGCCGGGUAGCUAUGUAGUGAAGGGAUAAACGCUGAAAGCAUCUAAGCGUGAAACCCGCCUCAAAACUAGGUCUCGCUGAGAGUCGUGGUAGACCACCACGUUGAUAGGCCGCAUGUGCAAGUGCAGUGAUGCAUUCAGCUUAGCGGUACUAAUAGCUCGAUCGGCUUGAUUCU
rnacentral:rRNA from 1 species